GAAAGAUCUUCCGAGGAUGCUGGGGGAUUAUUGCGCGAACUACUGCUGCUAAGCACACUCAUUUUUGUUAAUAGCUAUUUUUUCCAAGCACCUUUUCCAAGCUGCCUGGGCAAGGCUGCUUUGCAUGUUGUUUGGGGGAGGGGUAAUCCCGUUUGCAGCUGUCAUAGGCCAGUGAUGAAUCACUAUCCCGUCAUUUGGCUGCCUUCCCCCUGACAAGGGGAGGAGGAGGAUAGACCUGCAGGAGGAAACAACAGUUGAGACCUCAACUUAAAGACAAUAUGCCUUUCACUGCUGCACUAUCCUCCUCUUUCUCUUUUGGUCAAAAGAGACCAUUGUCGGUCUCAGCCAUGUGCUCUGUAUAAUUAAGAGCUGACACUGAAGCACAGUAACAACAGCUUUUAAUUUUUUACCCCUGACCACAGGUGCAAACAUCUCAAACCAGUUCAGAUGUUGCUGUUUCCUCAAGUUGCAGGUCUAUGGAAAUGCAGGAUCUAACCAGCCCACAUAGCCGUCUGAGUGGUAGUAGUGAAUCCCCCAGUGGUCCCAAACUCGAUAACUCUCACAUAAAUAGUAAUUCCAUGACUCCCAAUGGCACCGAAGUUAAAACAGAGCCAAUGAGCAGCAGUGAAAUAGCUUCAACAACAACGGACGGGUCUGUGGACAAUUUCUCAGGUUCAGGUAAGGAAUAAAUCUUACAUUUUUACAUUAAUAUUAAAUAUCAUAUAUCCUAGUUUUUUACAUGUGUAUAUAUAUGUAUGUGUUGAAUAUAUAUGUACAUAUGAGAUAUAGAUUUGUUCAGAAUCACA
rnacentral:lncRNA from 1 species